GAGAAACAGGGAUAGUAUAGAUUAAAUUGAUUAUUUCAGAAACGAUGCAGAAUUUUUAAUUGAUUAUAUUUAUUUCUUUCAGUAUGUUGAAGCUUAAAUAAAAUUUAAAUUUUUGCUAUAGUUCUCCUUCUAAUACCUGUUAAAUAAUGUUACAACACAUUUUUGCUGUAGUCUCAAUUUUAGCUUUACUGCCCCUUUAAGGAAGUUUAGUCAGUCCUAUAUAACCGUGUUCCUUCAGUAUAGUUUAUAUUUUUUCAUCGUCAAACUUUUCCUCUGCGCAUUUGAUAUGUCUUGGUGUAAUGUUGCUUUUCUCUUCAGCCGACCUGUCUCUAAAAUUUAAAUUCCAGGUGUUCUGAGCAAAGGUUGAUGGUUAAGAGAGAAAGUCUCUCAAAUAACGAAAUGAUCAUGUGCUCUUCAGUUCUCAAACAAGCGCACCACAAAGUUAAGAUCGCCAAUGGAAAAAAGCCUUAACUAGCUGCUCUGACAGCCUGGCACUGCAAGUCAAUGGUAAACUUGGGAGUGAAACACGGGCUUGUUUGUUUUUGCUUCCGUCUGUGCUCUUUAUACCACCUGACCUGCUCAACAUUUUACAAUAACCAUCUCAACAUGGACACUUUUAUAUUGCAAAACAUCUCUGUCUUCUGCGUGUGGUCUCUUUAAUAAAGGGGAAUAAGUUUA